rnacentral:rRNA from 1 species
UACGUAGGGUGCGAGCGUUGUCCGGAAUUAUUGGGCGUAAAGGGCUCGUAGGCGGUCUGUCGCGUCGGGAGUGAAAACUCAGGGCUUAACCCUGAGCCUGCUUCCGAUACGGGCAGACUAGAGGUAUGCAGGGGAGAACGGAAUUCCUGGUGUAGCGGUGAAAUGCGCAGAUAUCAGGAGGAACACCGGUGGCGAAGGCGGCAUCCUGGACCAACACUGACGCUGAGGAGCGAAAGCCAGGGGAGCAAACGGG